rnacentral:rRNA from 1 species
UACGUAGGGUGCGAGCGUUGUCCGGAAUUAUUGGGCGUAAAGAGCUCGUAGGCGGUGUGUCGCGUCGGUCGUGAAAACUUGGGGCUUAACCCUGAGCUUGCGGUCGAUACGGGCAUCACUGGAGUUCGGCAGGGGAGACUGGAAUUCCAGGUGUAGCGGUGAAAUGCGUAGAUAUCUGGAGGAACACCGGUGGCGAAGGCGGGAUCCUGGGCCAGUACUGGACGCUGAGGAGCGAAAGCGUGGGGAGCAAACAGG